rnacentral:rRNA from 1 species
GACGAACGCUGGCGGCGUGCUUAACACAUGCAAGUCGAACGCUGAAGCCCUUUCGGGGGUGGAUGAGUGGCGAACGGGUGAGUAACACGUGGGUAAUCUGCCCUGUACUUCGGGAUAAGCCUUGGAAACGGGGUCUAAUACCGGAUAGGACCUGUCCUCGCAUGGGGGUGGGUGGAAAGUUCCGGCGGUAUGGGAUGAGCCCGCGGCCUAUCAGCUUGUUGGUGGGGUAGUGGCCUACCAAGGCGACGACGGGUAGGCGGCCUGGGGUGGUGACCGGUCACACUGGGACUGAGACACGGCCCAGACUCCUACGGGAGGCAGCAGUGGGGAAUCCUGCGCAAGGGGCGAAAGCCUGACGCAGCAACGCCGCGUGGGGGAUGGCGGCCUUCGGGUUGUAAACCUCUUUCGACAUCGACGAAGGGGCCCUGUUGUGGGGUUUUGACGGUAGGUGUAGAAGAAGCACCGGCUAACUACGUGCCAGCAGCCGCCGCGG